rnacentral:lncRNA from 10 species
GGUGGCACCACAGGCCUCCUUGUGACAUCUGCAGGCCCCAUCUCUCUCCUUGGGGACCGUGGGGCACAGGACAGUGGAGGCCUGAUCCCUAUUGCAUGUGGUGAAUCUUAACUCAAGCCUUCAACAUCCUCCUUGAAAGAGGGGGAUAUCAAGAGAAUGAAAACAUGGGCCACACAAUGAGGGGAAAUAUUUGCAAAAGACAUAGUCGAUAAAGAACUAUUAUCCAAAAUAUACCAAGAAUGCUUAAGACAACCAUAAGAAAACAGGUAGGUGCUCUAGCUCACACCUAUAAUCCCAGCACUUUGGGAGGCCGAGGUGGGAGGAUUGCUUGAGCCAUGAGCUCAAGACCAGCCUGGGCAACAUGGCGAGACCUUGUCUCUUCAAAAAAUACAAAAAUUAAUUGGCAUGGUAGUGCACACCUGUAGUUCCAGCUACUCAGGAGGCUGAGGUGAGAGGAUUGCUUGAGCCUGAGAUAUUGAGGCUGCAGUGAGCCAUAAGUGUACCACUGCACUCUAGCCUGGGUGACAGAGUGAGACACUGUCUCAAAAGAAAAAAAAAAGAAACCAAAUAACCAAAUUUAAAAAUGGGCGAAAGAUCUGAACAGACACAUCAACAAAGAAGAUACACAGAUGAUGGCAAAGUGCAUAGGAAAAUAUGUUCAACAUCAUAUGCCAUCAGGGAAAUGCAAAUUAAGACAACAAUGAGAUACUACCACACACCUAUAAGAAUGGCCCAAAUCCAGAACAUUGACAACACCAAAUGCUGGCAAGGAUGUGGAGCAACAGGAACUCUCAUUCAUUGCUGUGGGAAUGCAAAAUGGCACAGCUACUUCAGAAGACGGUUUGGCAGUUUCUUACAAAACUAAAACAUACCCUUACCAUACAAUCCGGCAAUCACACUCUUUGGUAUUUACCCAAAUGAAUUGAAAAUUUAUGUUCACACAAAAACCUGCAUGCAAAUGUUUAGAGCAGUUUUAUUCAUAAUGCCAAAACUUGAAAGCAACUAAGAUGUCCUUCAGUAGGUGAAUGGAUAAACUGGAAUGCAUCCAGACAAUGAAAUAUCAUUCAGUGCUAAAAAGAAAUGAGCUAUCUCAACCAUGAAAAGUCAUGGAGGAAGAAUGCCUGUUACUAAGUGAAUCUGAAAAGGUUACAUGCUAGAUGAUUCCAAUUCUAUGACAUUCUGGAAAAGGCAAAACUAUGGAGACAGCAAAAGGAUUAGUGGUUGCCAGGGGCUGGAAGGGGAU